UUCAGGAAAUAUACUUUGGAGAAAAUGUUCGCAAAUCAACUAAUGGAAAGUGCAAAAGAUGAGUUGUCAUUCCGGACUGUGGUCAGGGAUUUGACAACCAAAUCUCCCAUGCUGCAAGUCUUUUAAAUCCUAAUUCAUGGUACUGCACUGGUAACUGUUUAGAUGCAGAGUGCAGCGAGAAAUCAACAUUAAAGUUGGAUCUGCUCCCCAUUAUCAAGCUUCUGUUUGCUGAUUGUAGCAACAAUAAAGAAUCCCAAUUAAGGGUGUUAGAAGAUUGGAUAACAAAGAAUCUAGCAGAUGAAGUUUUCAUGUUGCCGCAUCUAAUAGAAGAAUUGACUGAAAACAUCACAUCAAGGAAGGAUCUACUGCCACCAUCUUGUACUUUCUUUGAGGGUUUAUCCCUGUCAUUCAUGCUGAGGUAAUGCUUAGCUAUUCUAAUGGCUUUGAACUUCUAUUGGAUCCAAGUGGAAGAUUGGAAUGGAACACAUUCAGAAGUUAUGGUAUAUUAAAUGGAAAGCUUUGACAGAAGUGAAGAAUCUAUUUCCAUCUUGUUCUUCUGUUUGAGUCAUGAUGAACAAUUUCACCCUCAGUUUUAUUAUGUAGAAUCAUUGUGAAAGCAUUGGAUCUUUUUAUGAG
rnacentral:misc_RNA from 1 species